rnacentral:rRNA from 1 species
GUGGCGGACGGGUGAGUAACGCGUAAAGAACUUGCCUUACAGACUGGGACAACAUUUGGAAACGAAUGCUAAUACCGGAUAUUAUGACUGAGUCGCAUGAUUUGGUUAUGAAAGCUAUAUGCGCUGUGAGAGAGCUUUGCGUCCCAUUAGUUAGUUGGUGAGGUAACGGCUCACCAAGACGAUGAUGGGUAGCCGGCCUGAGAGGGUGAACGGCCACAAGGGGACUGAGACACGGCCCUUACUCCUACGGGAGGCAGCAGUGGGGAAUAUUGGACAAUGGACCAAAAGUCUGAUCCAGCAAUUCUGUGUGCACGAUGAAGUUUUUCGGAAUGUAAAGUGCUUUCAAUUGGGAAGAAGUCAGUGACGGUACCAACAGAAGAAGCGACGGCUAAAUACGUGCCAGCAGCCGCGGUAAUACGUAUGUCGCAAGCGUUAUCCGGAUUUAUUGGGCGUAAAAGCGCGUCUAGGCGGUUUAGUAAGUCUGAUGUGAAAAAUGCGGGGCUCAACCCCGUAUUGCGUUGGAAACUGCUAAACUAGAGUACUGGAGAGGUAGGCGGAACUACAAGUGUAGAGGUGAAAUUCGUAGAUAUUUGUAGGAAUGCCGAUGGGGAAGCCAGCCUACUGGACAGAUACUGACGCUAAAGCGCGAAAGCGUGGGUAGCAAACAGGAUUAGAUACCCUGGUAGUCCACGCCGUAAACGAUGAUUACUAGGUGUUGGGGGUCGAACCUCAGCGCCCAAGCUAACGCGAUAAGUAAUCCGCCUGGGGAGUACGUACGCAAGUAUGAAACUCAAAGGAAUUGACGGGGACCCGCACAAGCGGUGGAGCAUGUGGUUUAAUUCGACGCAACGCGAGGAACCUUACCAGCGUUUGACAUCCCAAGAAGUUAACAGAGAUGUUUUUCGUGCCUCUUCGGAAGGAACUUGGUGACAGGUGGUGCAUGGCUGUCGUCCAGCUCNGUGUCGUGAGAUGUUGGGUUAAAUCCCGCAACGAGCGCAACCCCUUUCGUAUGUUACCAUCAUUAAGUUGGGGACUCAUGCGAGACUGCCUGCGAUGAGCAGGAGGAAGGUGGGGAUGACGUCAAGUCAUCAUGCCCCUUAUACGCUGGGCUACACACGUGCUACAAUGGGUAGUACAGAGAGCUGCAAACCUGCGAGGGUAAGCUAAUCUCAUAAAACUAUUCUUAGUUCGGAUUGUACUCUGCAACUCGAGUACAUGAAGUUGGAAUCGCUAGUAAUCGCAAAUCAGCUAUGUUGCGGUGAAUACGUUCUCGGGUCUUGUACACACCGCCCGUCACACCACGAGAGUUGGUUGCACCUGAAGUAACCAGGCCUAACCCGUAAGGAGGGA